CAUUGCUUCAGUACAUAUCCAGCUGUAUCAUUGGAUACAAUGUAAAUCGCUCUGGAUAAGAGUGUCAGCUAAAUGCCUGUAAUAAUCCAGUACUUCUUUAUUCUCUAUAUGAAUAUCUUGAGACAUUCUGUGUUCUGAAUAUGCCUUCCAGCCUAUUAAUAACCUCCUCUGUAGUAAAACUCUCAACCAAGUAAAUUAAGGCAUCAGCAAUAUCCUUAUCCUUAAGGUGUAACUUGGUGGGAUGGCAGACCUGCCAUCCCAAUUAAUCUGGAAUUUAUCCUCACAGGAGUACUGAUGGCCAUCUACUUAUCAGGCUCUGCUGCUUCUGCCUUUGUGCUCAUAUUGGUUAUUUUAUUGCUGUGGAAAUGUUCAAGACGAAAAAAAUGUGUGGAAGUAAAGAAAAACCCUGUCUACUCAACUGCAGGCCUCGAUGACCAGCAUGUGGGAACACAGGAAAACAUAGCGCCAGCCAAAUCCCGCAGCAGGGGAAAGGGGCCUGUUGAAGAUCCGUCCGCUCCCGGGGGUGAUAACAUUUAUGUUAACAGUGCGACACCAUAUUUUGAAGAAGAAGAAGGGGUGGAUUAUGAAAGUUGUUUUAAAGAGGACGUUUAUGCGAACAUGUAAUGGCACAAAGUUGGCUAGUCUUAAGAAAAACCUGCUGCUUUAACAUACGUGAUCCGGAGGCAGUUCAAGCGAUGACUAUGUAUUGAAAAGGCCUUUGUCACACGACAGGAAUUUGAUUGUAAUUCUCCAUGCGCACAUUUCACAUAUGAUACUUUUUUUAUCGGAUGUUGCUUGUGCGCGAUGUGAAUAAGGCUUGUGAUUUCUGCCAGCACGUUUAUUACUGAACGGCCAUGAAGAUGGAGGUUUUGGUAUCACAAGAAUCAUAAGAAGGGUUAAUUCUGUUCUCUAGUACGUGUGCUGGGUGCUUGGAAAGGAUCCUUUUGAUUUUUUAACGGUACAUUACUUGAUGUCUUAUUUCAAUAUUGUUUAUUAAUAUUGCCAUAUACUGCUUUGCAGGCCUACAUGUAUUGUCACCAAGUAUAUUACUAUAAUCAAGAGCGAAGCAUUUAUAUUUAAUUCAUUGAUUAUUUUGUGUUCUGAGAAUAUCUUUGCUGCAAUAAAUAAUUCACGGUG